AGAGGAUAUAGCAUUGAAAAUAUCACUAUCAAAACUGCAAACUACACAUGAUAGAAGAUCAGAUUCUGCCUUAAAGCUCGGCGAGGCAAUUUCAUCAGCAGUGUGACUUCACGUCCACGCUCAGAACCUGAAUGUGUAAAUUCCACCUUUGGCACUCUCAGCUAGCAAACACCUGCAGAACUGGGGGAGUUUAACCUACUGUUCAGAUGACUGGAUUCACUUGCACUGCUUUUGGAGCCUGACUUACAGCAGAAAGGGAAAAAUCUCACAGUGAUCUGUGUAAGCACAUACUGCAGCUUGAAUGAAAUUCCAGCACUCCUAGAAAGCCAGUUUUGAGGCAUCCAGACUACAGAGACGAAAAGACAGCAUUGAGAAUUCCUCUGGAACCAAGCAAAUAUGACUCCCAAGAGCCUACCAAAGAGCUUGGACCAUGAAAUCUAAUGAUUUGAUAAGAAGCUGAUUUCAUAAAGCCCUCUCUCCUGCAGACUGCUGGAUACCCUUUUUGCACAGAAAAGAUAUCAGUGCAUCAUAUGGGAAGAACUAAAAGUAUUUAAUGGUGUGUCAUAAUCCAGAUUCUACAGGCUUAAUUAUCAUCUCAAACAGAAUCAUCCAAACACAAAACAUGAGAGGAAGAAGGAAUAUUCCUGAGGGCGUGGCGCUGGAGGGAAACGUCUCACAUUUGGGAGAGGACCAGAAAUCUGUUUGGCCAGUGAAGCUCACCUGAGUGAAUGAAUCUGGAAUUCUGCUCCAGGGGAAUUGACUGACAUGGAUAAUCCUGGGAGGGCCUGUGGCCCAGAAAGAGUCACCUGUGUAGUUCACAACUUUUGCUCUACUGGUGGAAUUUGUACUACCUAACAUGUCCUGGGGAAUAAUUUAUUCCUUGCUCCUCAAAAAAGAAAUUUCAAAACUAUUUUAAAGUACUCUGGCAAGGCAAAGAGGCUGUAGCCCUAAAGCAAAGGAUAUGUUUUGCCCUGAAGAAUGGUGUGAAAGAACCUUCUGGUUAAUUAAUCUUUGCAGUGCAAAGAAUAAUUCAAGCUCUUGUUUGAGUAUCGUUUACAUUGUGUGAUUAUUGGGUUGAGUCAAACACAUACCAGCUUUAGCAUUACAGCAUACAUGUUAAUAAAAAUAAUAUUGCCUUGUA